rnacentral:rRNA from 1 species
GCAAGUCGAACGGUAGAUAGUGCUUGCACUAUCGAGAGUGGCGAACGGGUGAGUAACACGUAGAUGAUCUACCUUUUAGUUGGGGAUAGCCCAUGGAAACAUGGAGUAAUACCGAAUAAUCUCUUUUGACUUUAGUCGAUUGAGGAAAGAAGCGUUUGCUUCGCUGAAAGAUGAGUCUGCGCACUAUUAGCUAGUUGGUGGGGUAAGAGCCUACCAAGGCGACGAUAGUUAGCCGACCUGAGAGGGUGAUC